GGACAUCAGUUCGAUAAUCCGAAGUUCAUAGGAUUCUAUAAAGAUCUUGGUAUCUCCCACAAGUUGACUUCGAUAGCUCAUCUCCAAAGCAAUGGUGAAGUUGAGGUGACGAAUAGAACCUUCCUACAAGGACUCAAAGCUCGCCUUGGCCAAGCUAAAGGGCUAUGGUCGAAGAGCUGUACCACAUGCUUUGGGCAUAUCGCACAACUCAACGAGUCUCAAUUGGAGAGACCCCAUUCAAGCUGACUUUUGGGACUA
rnacentral:lncRNA from 1 species